UCCUGUGUGGCUCAGUCGGUAGAGCACGGCGCUUGCAACGUCAGAAUGGCGGGUUUUAAUCCCACUGGAA
rnacentral:tRNA from 1 species